rnacentral:lncRNA from 1 species
UGUAAUUUGAUAAACUACUGUUGCUUGUUGUUCUGUUGUUUGUCCUUCAUCUUGCCCUUCUGCAUAAUGCUCAUCCACUACUUUAGUUCAUCAUCUACCCAUGUCCAUCAUGCAUUGUCCUUGCUAGCUCGUGUCACCAUGCCAAUCCACGUCCUUCCUUUCUUUAGGAGUUCAACUACAAGAAAUGCUAAACAAACAUAAAAUGCAUAAAAACAUAAUAAAAUCUACUCGAGAUGGGCAUAAUUCUCGUGAAUUGAUAUCAAAUAAGUAGGUAUAAAACCUACUUAUCAAAUACCCCCAAACUUGAUCUAAUGCUUGCCCUCAAGCAAUGCAUACGCAUUAAACAAUGAAAUGCAAUUACAUGCUAUGCAACUAAAUUAUGCUACAAAUGCGUCCCAAGUCUUUCCAGCUAAGUUGAAAUUCUAAUCCAAUGUGCCUCAGUGAAUUAUCCAGAUUCAAGAAUAAAAUUUCAAACUAAAC